AUUUUGUUCAACAAAAUCCCAAUGGUUCCAAAAGAUUGGAAUAUUAUCAUCAACUUUACCUUCCCUUCCUUCGCUAACUCGCUGCUUGCCUCUGAAACUUGGGUUGGAUCCUUCUCACUGUGCCAUGGGUGAUUAAAGCAUGAUUGAAUUUGUGUUUUAGGUUGUUUUGGAUCAAAUUUUCACAAAAGGCCAGAAAAUUACAGCAAUGUGGGAUUGUAUUUUGCUCGCUUGGGAGGACAAUAUGGGGGUGGAAUAUAACAAUGUUCGAAACACCAAUAGCUUAGAAUGUCGUUCGGUAAAAAUACAAGGUGCAGUGAACAAAUUUCAUGGACUAUAUGAGAGAUUGCAAGAAAUCUACAAAGUGGAACAACCCCAGAAGAUAUGAAGAGAGCAGCAAUGCAAAUGUAUGAGAAUCUUAAUUAUGUAAAAUGGACUUGAAGCUGGAUGGAAUGGAAGCUAUGGAUAGUAAAUGAUCUAUAUUGAAGAUGGAAAAGGCUAACGGAAGGAAAUGUUAUGAAGGGAUUGUACAUAAUCUAUAAGGAUAAUACACAUAUAUUUAAAUGUUGUGCAUUCGUAUUUUGAUGUUCUCCAUCUUUCUUAUGGAAUUUUAGAAGUUGCAGUUGUUAGAAAUCUUUGACAAAGUUUUUUGAACUCGUUGAGCUAGUGCCUAUAUAAUUGUAGGUUAUUUGUUGUUUCAUAUUGUUCC